AGGCCUGCCUGCCCAGUGACUAUAUGUUUAACGGCCGCGGUACUUUGACCGUGCGAAGGUAGCGCAAUCACUUGUCUUUUAAAUGGAGACCUGUAUGAAUGGCACGACGAGGGCUUAACUGUCUCCUUUUUCCAGUCAAUGAAAUUGAUCUUCCCGUGCAGAAGCGGGAAUAAUAUCAUAAGACGAGAAGACCCUGUGGAGCUUUAGACACUAAACCAGCCCUUGUCCAAAAUCCCAAUUAAAGGAAUGAACACUAGAGUGAGACCUGAUCUAAUGUCUUCGGUUGGGGCGACCUUGGGGAAAAGAAAAAUCCCCCAUGCGGAACGGAAAUACCAUGUUUCCCAAAACUUAAGAGAGACCACUCAAAGUAUCAAAAAUUUGACCCACUAUUGAUCCGGCUUACGCCGAUCAACGGACCGAGUUCCCCCGGGGAUUACAGCGCAUCCUCUUUUGAGCCCUAUCGACGAGGGUUUUCGACCUCGAUGUUGGAUCGACCUCCUUGGUGCGCGCUUUAGGUUCGUUUGUUCCACGAUUAGUCCUACGUGAU
rnacentral:rRNA from 1 species